CUCACCUGUCCUGGAUGAUGGCUGAUGAGCUGGGCUGACUAUUUAAGCUUCUGGGAGAGAUCCAUUCCUCGCCGGAUUAUUCAGUAACCUUGGAAUCUUCAAGUAGAGUCGUUGACUCACCUACCUUGGAACUCAACUCCUCGUGCCUGGAUCUCCAACCCCGUCAGACCUCAGCCAAAGCCUCUGCCUCUCCGCCUACCUUGGAACACACUCUCAGACCUGGAAAACAAGAGCACACCGAAAUACUCACCUCCUGGAUUCAUCCUGCCUCUCCUUCCGAGUCUGCCUCCAUCUCCUAAACCUGGAAAUCUCUGGAACAAACCCACUGUAAAUAAACUCACUUACCUUUUA